rnacentral:tRNA from 1 species
GCGGGGGUAGCUCAACUCUUAGAGCGCCGACGUUCCCUGUCGGAGAUGCCGUGCGCAAAUCCGGUCCCCCGCUCCA